GGGCCGUUAGCUCAAUGGUUAGAGCAGGUGCCUUUUAAGCACUUGGUUCUCGGUUCGAGUCCGAGACGGCCCA
rnacentral:tRNA from 1 species